AAUAAAAGGAGAUGGCCAGGAACUGAGUGGGUUUUUCUCCCACUACAAUUUCUUGACUUUGUGCUCUAGCAGUAAGGAAAUUACUGGGAAUUUGCCUUGAGUUCACCAGAGGAGACCUCAGAUUUGUCUGUUGUUUUUCAAAGUGGGUGAUAAGUAUGGAGGACAUGGGUGAAGCUUCCUGAGCUCAGAGCCUGAAGUAACCUUGUGGCUGCUGCUUCCUUGACAGCUAAGACACCCGUCUGUGGUGGGACAGUCCGCUGAUGCUGGAAUGCUGCCUACCAGAAUAUUACACUUAUUAACUACAGCAGUUAAUGACAAUCAAAAAGCACCUGAGAGCAAAACACUCAUUUGGAAGCAAACAGGAAAUGUGGGCAAAGUCAGUUUGCUUUUCCUCAUCUUCAGUUACCACAGAAAAGCUGCAGUGCCUUCAUCUCCCCCAACGCAGCAUUUCAGGUUUACGUCAAUAUUUUCAUGCUUUUGUAAAGAACUGCUUCUGUGUAAAUCCUCACUCUUAAAUGAUUUCUGGAGUUUGAUGACUUCAGGCAGAUAAGAACCUCAUUGCCUGCAACAGAAUGAAUUU